UACGUAGGGGGCAAGCGUUGUCCGGAAUUAUUGGGCGUAAAGAGCUCGUAGGCGGUUUGUCACGUCGGAUGUGAAAACCCGAGGCUUAACCUCGGGCCUGCAUUCGAUACGGGCUGACUAGAGUUCGGUAGGGGAGACUGGAAUUCCUGGUGUAGCGGUGAAAUGCGCAGAUAUCAGGAGGAACACCGGUGGCGAAGGCGGGUCUCUGGGCCGAUACUGACGCUGAGGAGCGAAAGCGUGGGGAGCGAACAGG
rnacentral:rRNA from 1 species